AAAGUGUUAGUUUAUACAAAAUGAAAAUACUGUUAGACAAUCGUCACUUACGAAUUUAAAACCAAAAGAUACUCUGGACAGUAUAACUAUUUAAUUUACAUGAGCUUUUUUCAAGUGAACUUGAAUAUGUUUUUCGUUAAAGCAACGUUGCUAUUUUUUACCUUGGUAGUGCUCACAGAGGAAAGAGACAUGAGACGUUGCGAAAGCAAUCCGUGUAAGAAUGGAGGAAGUUGCAUCAAUAUUUCCAACCGCUACAUUUGUAGAUGUCCGUGGGUGUGAGGAGGUUCAACAUGCAAUACAGACAUGGGUUCUUGCAGAAGCAGCCCGUGUAAAAAUGGAGGAACAUGUAAAAAUAUUCCCAACGAUUUUAUUUGAGGAUGUCCAAAUGUUUGGGAAGGUUCAACAUGCAACAUAGCACGUGAUGUUGACUGCAAAGUCACACAGUGGUCAACGUGGUCCGAGUUGGGUCAAAAUGUCUGGGUUGGUCAACAGAGCAGAUCAAGAAGUAUCACGCAACAUCCUAAUGGAGCAGGAAGAAAGUGUCCGAACCUUAUUGAUUACAGACAUACGGCCUUGAAUUUUUGCGGAAGCUAUCCAUGCAAAAAUGGAGGAACAUGUAAAAAUUUUCCCGACGCACAUAUGUAUACUUGCACUUGGCAUGGAAAGUAAUUUCAGUAAUACUAACUAUAUGAAUGAUGUGUACAAUAACAAUAAUCAUUAUAAUGUGAGAAGAAACUUAAUUCAUCUAACUACUCAAUGUGGCGAUUCCAUACAUCUGUAAAUCAACUGAUAUUUUUUUUUUUUUUUUUUUUUUGAUUUAGUACUUAUGGUUUUCACUGUCAUUUUUAACAGAAAUAGUUGGAACAAACUAAAGUUUGACGUCUUAAAUGAAAAAAAAACUUCAUUGCUUCUUGGUAAAACCAUUCAUGUUACAGCUUUUUAUCCCUCGCCGAAGGCUACAAUGUUGGCAUUGUCCGUCCGUCCGUCUUUAUGUUCGUCCUUCCGGAGCAAUAUCUAGGAAUUGGCUGGGAAUAUUAAAAAAAUAAUUCAUAUACAUGUUCACCACUAUAGGGCCCGUCAAGUGUCAGUAAGAUUGCCCAAGUAACACUUCAGGUUUGGCCCUUAGAAGUUUAAAAUAUAUAGGAUAAAUAAAUAUGGCAAUUUCUGCUUCAUACCUUAUGACAUGUUUGACCUAGAACUAUGAAACUGAAAUUAAAUUUAGAUGACCAUAAUGUGGUAGUGCACGCACUAUUUCGUCAGGAUCUAUUUAGUGACUUCAAAGUUAUUGCCCUUUAAUUGUUUAAAAAUGCACGUAUUUGUACAUCACAAACUAACCAAUAGGUAGAAUUUACACCCCCCCCCCCACCCACUUUGUCCCUUUUUUUUUAAAUAAUCCAUUAUGUUUUUAAAAUUUCAAACCUUCUAUGAAUAAUUAUCAACGUGUGAAGUUGCAUGUAACCACGCCACCCCAUCCACCCCGCCACAACCCACGUUGCAGUUUUUUUACUUGAUUCGUUCUGUUCUUUUAAGUUCAAAUGUACAUGUUAAACAGCGACACUUGGUGCCAAACUACUCGAAUAAAUAGUUGGUUCUAGUUACUCUUCAGGCUCACCUUUUAAAUGAUUCCGUAUAAUUCUAAAAGCUAUUAAGUUAGUUCUGCACGUUUGGACCGAAAUUUUUUCUACAAUGUAGAAUUUUAUUAAACUCUGAUUUUUCAAAACUUAAGAAUAUACCUAGAAAAUUCAGCAAAUAAAAAAGAUAGGGUCGUGUGCUUGAUUUUUUGCUAGGCUGAUUUGAAAAAUUUGGACCUCGCGCAAUAUUUCAUAAUGGGAGUAUAUGGGAAAAUCAUAACUUUCAUAACAUUUUCGCGAAUAGAAAUUUUUCUACAAUGUAGAUUUGGGUGAAACUUCUCACAGUUGUAAAUAAAUACAUGGCCUGUAAUUUGGCGAAAUAAAAUACAUAGGUCCCUGUGCUUAUUUUUGAGAUAUUUGACCGUGAUUAAAGUGAACCGGACAUUUCACGCUAUUUUUAAGACAUUAUUUUGAAUUUUUAACGUGUCGUAUGUUUUAAUAUCAUAUUUUGCCUUUAGAAAUAUAGCAACAGUGCCAUUGUAAUAAAUUUACUCACAGGUUUCGAUUAUUUCAUAAAAUGAUUUUCAUUUCCGUACGCCGAAUCCAGGCUUUAUUCUACGUUUUCCGGAUAAAUGACGUUACACCAUCACUUCCGGUAUAUCAAACGUGCAGAACUACCUUAAGCUUAUAACAGUAAACAUAUUCCAUUCUUAGUAAUUUCAUUAGUCAGGAUCAACGUAACAUACAUUUAUCAUGUACUAUGUAACACUUAAAACAUUCGUUUUCUGUUAAAUUGAUCUUGACUAAUGAAAUUAUUUGCUUCUUAGAAAUAUUUUUAACUUUUUGCCGGAUAUAUUAUGUUUGCCAUUCCUCGCAACAAACCCUUUCGGCAUGGGAUACCAAUUCAUUGAAUGUGCUUGUUAAAAUUUUUAGUAACAUCAUUUCAUACUCUAUACAAUGAAGACUUAUUUUAAUUAUAA